GUCAGUAUUCUUUGUCCUAGCAUAUUAUGCGACUACUUCUUGUGCAAAUCAAUUACAUACUAGUUUGUUGUUUUUAGAUGUGUACAGUGGACUUUGGGUUUUUCUUCAAAAUGUCUUGUUUGGAAUUGGGAUGGAGAAAUUAUUUAAAGAGAGAACUAUCCUUGUUGACUGUUGUAGCUCAUUUAAUAUGUACCAACAGAACAAAAAUCUCAUCUAAAAACUACCUUUAUUUUAUAGCUCUCAGUUUAAGGAACAAGCCCAAUAUUUUAAAAUUUACACACUGAAACUAUGAUUAAUCAGGUGAAGAGUGGAUCUGUAUAGCCUUGAUGAAUUGAACAGAAUUCGGUGUGAAUGUAAAAGCAUAUAACAAAUUCCUUGAGAUAUUAGCUUGGCCUCGAGGUGUCAACUUUAUUUUCUUAGGAAUUCCAUUAUUCUCUUAAUAAUCAGCAGUCAUUGAUAGGGGUGUACGUGGGUUGGGUCAGUCUGGUUUAAGGAUAUAUGCAAAACCAAGCCGACCACUUCAGUUUUAUAUUUCUUGAAAUCAAAGCCGAGAAUUGGGAAUUGAAGACCGUGGCUUUCGGGUUUGAUCGGUGUAACACGGUUUCAGUUAGAAAAUGGAAUCCAAAAAUGGAAUUCUAUUCAAAGAGAAGGCAUUGAACACCAUUUAAAGGGAAAAUAUAAACACUCAAGUGAAAAACUAUAUUGAGAACAAAAGUCCAAAAUAAGCACAUAAGAUUACAAAUCAAGCAUGCAAAAAAAUCUGCAAUUUUCUCUUAAAGAGCUAAAUCUAUAUCAGCUAUAACAGAGGAGAAUUGAGGGUUUGGCAAGGAGAAAGUACCAAAUACCAAAGUUAGAACAAUCAAAUCAUCAAUUUCUCAUGGAUGGCAUUUGUGAAGAAUCUCAGCAAGAAGUAAUAAAAUCCACAUGCAUGCCUAUCUGUAGAUUCUGAGAGUCCUAACCAUACCGAUCUUCAGAUGCCAAAAAUCCCAACUUUGAUAGAGAAAAAAAUACCAUAUAGCCAAAUGCAAAAUAGAGAAUCUGUAUUUGCCAAAUAAGCUACAGUUGAGAAGGAUGAAAUUAUGAAGGUUGGGUUCAAUGAGAAGGACGAAAGGCUGCAAUUGAGAGAAUAUAAAAAAGAAUCGAGAGGAUGUAGGUGGCUUCUUGUGUUGUCCUUUUUAGUAAGCAGAUAUAUAUAUAUAUUGUGCUACUUGGUUCGGGUUGGGUUGGUUUAAUUUUAUUAGUGAACCUGAAAACCGAACUGAAUAUUCGGUUUACUUAUAUUUGCAACCCAAAACCAAUUUGCAAAUGUUUAAAACCAUUAUUUUCGGUUUGAUUUUAUUCGGUUUAUUCGAGUUUAUCAGUUUUUCGGUUUUCAUGUACACCCCUAGUCAUUGAUGCCUCAUGGCUCAUGCCUUACUCAACUACACCUAGUCCCUGUAAAAUAAUUCAUUUCAAU
rnacentral:misc_RNA from 1 species